rnacentral:rRNA from 1 species
GAAUCCCGUCUUUGACACGGACUGCCUGUACAUUAUGGUGUGCUCUCGAAGAGUCGAGUUGUUUGGGAAUGCAGCUCAAAAUGGGUGGUAAGUGCCAUCUAAAGCUAAAUAUUGGCGAGAGACCGAUAGCGAACAAGUACCGUGAGGGAAAGAUGAAAAGAACUUUGGAAAGAGAGUUAAACAGUACGUGAAAUUGCUGAAAGGGAAACGCUUGAAGUCAGUCGCGUUGGCUAGAAAUCAACCUUGCUUUUGCUUUGUGUACUUUCUGGUUGACGGGUCAGCAUCAAUUUUGACCACUGGAUAAAGUCUUUGGGAAUGUGGCAUCUUUGGAUGUGUUAUAGCCCAUUGUCGCAUACGGUGGUUGGGAUUGAGGAACUCAGCACGCCGCAAGGCCGGGUUUCGACCACGUUCGUGCUUAGGAUGCUGGCAUAAUGGCUUUAAACGACCCGUCUUGAAACACGGACCAAGGAGUCCAACACGCCCGCGAGUGUUCGGGUGGAAAACCCGUGCGCGUAAUGAAAGUGAAAGUUGGGACCUCUGUCGUGGAGGGCACCGACGCCCGGACCAGACCUUCUGUGACGGAUCUGCGGUAGAGCGUGCGUGUUGGGACCCGAAAGAUGGUGAACUAUGCCUGAAUAGGGUGAAGCCAGAGGAAACUCUGGUGGAGGCUCGUAGCGAUUCUGACGUGCAAAUCGAUCGUCAAAUUUGGGUAUAGGGGCGAAAGACUAAUCGAACCGUCUAGUAGCUGGUUCCUGCC